CCACCGCAAUCAUCUCCUCAAGAUUCAGAUUCCCUUCUUCUCUUGCAUCAAUUUCUCGUUCCACGCUAUCAUCUCCUCUCUCCCCGCUUUUCUGAUACUCAUUCAAUUUCUCAUCAUCUCGUUCUUCUCGCCAUCAUAUCGUGGUCAAAGCCACCGACGACUCUUCCAACCUAUCCGGUGAUGAUCCUUUUCGGUCUUUCCCGUGGUUCCAAUUCGACUCUGAAAUUCAAUGAGUUCAUGAGGAUAGAAUUACAUUGUUCACCGUUGAUGGACUGGUGCAGAUUGGAGGCUCCAUCACCCCUCGCCAUGUUAGCUCUUCAGAUGUAGUACCGAAGACUAUUGGAAAAGAUAGGAUGCUGCUCAAGUAAUGGCUCAGUUAGUAUGGGAAGGACUUGGACUCGGAGGAGGGACAGAUGUCCGAAACUGGGGCAGCCUGGUUUAUCUU